UGAGAAAUAAGGCUCUGAGGAGAACACUG
rnacentral:piRNA from 1 species